rnacentral:rRNA from 1 species
UACAGAGGGGUGCGAGCGUUGUCCGGAAUCACUGGGCGUAAAGGGCGCGUAGGCGGCUUGAUAAGCGUGCGGUGAAAGCCCGGGGCUCAACCCCGGGUCGGCCGUGCGAACUGUCGAGCUGGAGCACUGUAGAGGCAGGUGGAAUUCCGGGUGUAGCGGUGGAAUGCGUAGAGAUCCGGAAGAACACCGGUGGCGAAGGCGGCCUGCGUGGGCAGUGGCUGACGCUGAGGCGCGACAGCGUGGGGGAGCAAACAG